rnacentral:rRNA from 1 species
UACGGGGGGGGCAAGCGUUGUUCGGAAUUACUGGGCGUAAAGGGCUCGUAGGCGGCCAACUAAGUCGGACGUGAAAUCCCCAGGCUCAACCUGGGAACUGCGUCCGAUACUGGAUGGCUUGAAUCCGGGAGAGGGAAGCGGAAUUCCGGGUGUAGCGGUGAAAUGCGUAGAUAUCCGGAGGAACACCGGUGGCGAAGGCGGCUUCCUGGACCGACACUGACGCUGAGGCGCGAAAGCUAGGGGAGCAAACGGG